UACGUAGGGGGCUAGCGUUGUUCGGAUUCAUUGGGCGUAAAGGGUGCGUAGGCGGCGCGGUAAGUCGGGUGUGAAAUCUCGGGGCUUAACUCCGAAACUGCAUUCGAUACUGCCGUGCUUGAGGACUGGAGAGGAGACUGGAAUUUACGGUGUAGCGGUGAAAUGCGUAGAUAUCGUAAGGAAGACCAGUGGCGAAGGCGGGUCUCUGGACAGUUCCUGACGCUGAGGCACGAAGGUCAGGGGAGCAAACGGG
rnacentral:rRNA from 1 species